rnacentral:rRNA from 1 species
UACGGGGGGGGCAAGCGUUGUUCGGAAUUACUGGGCGUAAAGGGUUCGUAGGUGGCCGACUAAGUCAAACGUGAAAUCCCUCAGCUUAACUGGGGAACUGCGUCUGAUACUGGUCGGCUCGAGUGCAGGAGAGGAACGCGGAAUUCCAGGUGUAGCGGUGAAAUGCGUAGAUAUCUGGAGGAACACCGGUGGCGAAGGCGGCAUCCUGGACCGAGAUCGACGCUGAGGCGCGAAAGCUAGGGGAGCAAACGGG